GCCUGGGUGGCUCGGUCAGUUAAGCAUCUGACUUCGGCUCAGGUCAUGAUCUCACGGUUUGUGGGUUCAAGCCCCACAUCGGGUU
rnacentral:tRNA from 1 species